rnacentral:rRNA from 1 species
AAAUUGAAGAGUUUGAUCAUGGCUCAGAUUGAACGCUGGCGGCAGGCCUAACACAUGCAAGUCGAACGGUAACAGGAAUCAGCUUGCUGAUUUGCUGACGAGUGGCGGACGGGUGAGUAAUGUCUGGGAAACUGCCCGAUGGAGGGGGAUAACUACUGGAAACGGUAGCUAAUACCGCAUAACGUCGCAAGACCAAAGAGGGGGACCUUCGGGCCUCUUGCCAUCGGAUGUGCCCAGAUGGGAUUAGCUAGUAGGUGGGGUAACGGCUCACCUAGGCGACGAUCC